ensembl:snRNA U6 U6 spliceosomal RNA
GUGCUUGCUUCGGCAGCAUAUAUACUGAAAUUGAAACAAUACAGAGAAGAUUAGCAUGGCCCUUGCGCAAGAAUGACAUGCCAAUUUGUAAAGCAUUCCAUAUUUUU